rnacentral:rRNA from 1 species
UACGGAGGGGGCUAGCGUUGUUCGGAAUUACUGGGCGUAAAGGGCGCGUAGGCGGACAGUUUAGUCAGAGGUGAAAGCCCAGGGCUCAACCCUGGAAUUGCCUUUGAUACUGGCUGUCUUGAGUACGGGAGAGGUGUGUGGAACUCCGAGUGUAGAGGUGAAAUUCGUAGAUAUUCGGAAGAACACCAGUGGCGAAGGCGGCCCGCUGGACAUGUAUUGACGCUGAGGUGCGAAAGCGUGGGGAGCAAACAGG